GAUGAACGCUGGCGGCGUGCCUAAUACAUGCAAGUCGAGCGAACAGACGAGGAGCUUGCUCCUCUGACGUUAGCGGCGGACGGGUGAGUAACACGUGGAUAACCUACCUAUAAGACUGGGAUAACUUCGGGAAACCGGAGCUAAUACCGGAGCAUAUAUCGAACCGCAUGGUUCAAUAGUGCAAGACGGUUUUCCUGUCACUUAUAGAUGGAUCCGCGCCGCAUUAGCUAGUUGGUAAGGUAACGGCUUACCAAGGCAACGAUGCGUAGCCGACCUGAGAGGGUGAUCGGCCACACUGGAACUGAGACACGGUCCAGACUCCUACGGGAGGCAGCAGUAGGGAAUCUUCCGCAAUGGGCGAAAGCCUGACGGAGCAACGCCGCGUGAGUGAUGAAGGUCUUCGGAUCGUAAAACUCUGUUAUUAGGGAAGAACAAAUGUGUAAGUAACUAUGCACGUCUUGACGGUACCUAAUCAGAAAGCCCCGGCUAACUACGUG
rnacentral:rRNA from 1 species